AUGUCGUCCAAUCCAUACAGCUGCUGGCCCGUGUUUGUAAUUCCGCUCAAUCUUCCUCCCGGUGCCCUAAUGCGACGCAAGACCAUGUUCUUGUCGCUCAUCAUUCCGGGGCCUGAUUAUCCGGGGAAGCAAUUGGGUGUGUUUAUGCAGCCGCUGGUGGAUGCUUUGCACCAUUCUUGGUACUUUCCGACGUUGACAUACGACCGGGAUCUGCAGAGAAAUUUCUUGAUGAAAGUUUGGUUGCACUAUUGCAUGCAUGACUUUCCCGGCUAUGCUCUAUUCUGCGGAUGGUGUACAAGUGGGAAGAUGCCAUGCCCAGUGUGCAUGCAGGCUCUGCGAAUGAUUUGGCUGAGUAAGGGUGGCAAGUAUGUAGCCUUUGACCUGCAUCGACAGUUCCUCCCUCCAGAUCAUCCAGAUAGGGAAGACAAGAAGAACUUCACGAAAGGCCGGGUUGUUCAUGAAGUAACCGAGAUGCAGCACGCUUUUCAGGAAAUGGCGGCCGGCAGGUGUCCUCAAUGGCCAUCAGCAGAGGGUCCUCCAGCACAACCAGUGCUGCUGACCUUUGAGGAGUUUGCGGCACAGAACGUUGGCCCCUCGCCGGGAACCGGUGCAUCUAAUGUUGGAGGUGGUCUUCGCAACACUCCCGAGACACGGAGCCCGACCACUCCGAUCCACGGAGACGGAGGCGGAGGCGGACGUAGAGGCGGUCUUGGCGGUAGCGCUGCCGCUAGCAGUGACGACCUUGGCUUCGGCGGUCUUGGCGGUGACGACCUCCGCGUUGCGCGACGUCCUGGCGCUUAA
rnacentral:rRNA from 1 species